rnacentral:lncRNA from 1 species
GCCUUUUAUGAACAUCACUGAAAAGGCUGGGCAAGACGAAACCUGUGAAGAAGGAAGAUCUCCAUGGCUGCCCUUAGCGUGGAAUGUGUUCUUCACACCCUUACAAACAGCUUUCAAGUGUUCAGCCUGUGGAGUUGAAGCAGGUACUGUUAGAUCUGAGCUGAUCUGUUUUGGGGGCGUGUGUACUUAUGUUGUUCUGCCGACCCUGAAUGCAAGAACACCUGCUCUGAUGUGUGCAUCGUUUGUAGCAGGCAUUGUCCUUUAAUAUCUGAGACAUGUAGCAAAGCAUCAUCUCAUAUCAGGAUGUGUCCCUGGGUCUUUGUGAAUGUCUACACUUGGUUCAGCCAAGAGGUUUAUUUGGAAAGUGUCAACAUGAGCUUUGUUUUUGGCAAUUUGUUGGUUGGCCUUUCAAAAUUCUCACAUUCCUGUGCAAAGGUAGACACUGCAGUAUCUGAUCCAUCUGUGAAAUUUAAGCCUAAGAACAAUCAUGAGCUGCUGAAAAUUGCAACAUCAGUAAUCCCAAAAGUUCCAAAUAUACCAGUCUGAAGCUGUGAUGAAUAAUAAUUUUGUUAUGGCUAAUGAGACCCACACAUUGACAGAUAUGCAGCAGGCUUUUGUUCUGUUAUUUCUAUCUUGGUUAAGAUAGAAUAAAAGUUUUCAGCAUAUGAAUUCUACAGCUGCCCUCCUUAAUUACCAGAGCCUAAUGUUGUAAUGUUUCUUCUGAAUAUUGGAUGUUGGUACAAUAGACUUUCAUGGGGCAGCUGAGGUAGUGCCAUCUAUGAUCAGGAGAGGGCAGCAAAGAGCCACAUGAGUCACAACUCUCUGGGCUGGGUCUGCCCAGGAAUCAAUUAAGGCAAUGUAGGAAGCCAGGGAGAAAAUCCCUGCUUGAGUUGAUACCAGCUAAAAUUGAAGGUGGUAAGAGUUGAAGCAGAGGCAAAUGCGUGUUGAUUGCAACAAAGUUGGAGUUAAACGGCGCUAGAUUCUAGAGGGAUUGACUGUGUCAGCAGGGGCUCGAAUUUCUGGAGGAGAACCCAGUGAGCAAAGCAAAAGCUAGCAGAUUUGAGUAGGAUAGGAGUCAGGCCCAUUGGGGUGGGCCAAAGAGUUUUGCAAGGUUAUCCAUACUGACACAUUGCUGAG